rnacentral:rRNA from 1 species
AUUGAACGCUGGCGGCAUGCCUUACACAUGCAAGUCGAACGGCAGCACGGGAGCAAUCCUGGUGGCGAGUGGCGAACGGGUGAGUAAUAUAUCGGAACGUGCCCAGUCGUGGGGGAUAACGUAGCGAAAGCUACGCUAAUACCGCAUACGAUCUAUGGAUGAAAGCGGGGGAUCGCAAGACCUCGCGCGAUUGGAGCGGCCGAUAUCAGAUUAGGUAGUUGGUGAGGUAAAGGCUCACCAAGCCGACGAUCUGUAGCUGGUCUGAGAGGACGACCAGCCACACUGGGACUGAGACACGGCCCAGACUCCUACGGGAGGCAGCAGUGGGGGAAUUUUUGGACAAUGGGCGCAAGCCUGAUCCAGCAAUGCCGCGUGCAGGAUGAAGGCCUCGGUGUAACUAGCUUUGU